GCACGCUCCUAAAGUAAUUCACACCAGACACAGGUUUCGGGUUAAUGAAAAACUUGAGGAAUGUUUAUUCUGAGGGGACGGCAUGUCCCUUAUAAAGCAAAAUUACAUCAUAUGCAUUGUCAGACAUAACAUGGAAUAAUACAUCAAUAAUUGGUUAGGUGUUAAGUGGUUCAUGUAUUGCUCUUCCUACCGGGUGUGAUGUCACUGGUAUCUUGGAGGUCUCCCCCAGAUUCCAGAACCAUCUUGUUAAUGAGGGUGUUAGUCGAUGUCAAGGGGAAACUCCCUAGCGGCCAUUUUAGGUAAAUCACAUGUAAGGUUGAAUAAUGCUGAUUGUAGUUAUACUGAGUAAAUAGGCAUUUUACUAACAUGGAUUGGGUUAAUAUUUUUGUCCAUAACAAUAACUAUGGUGUGUUAUGGUGCUUGGAGUGUUCCUUUCAAAUUAUCAGUUGAAUAUGUUAGAAAUGUGAAAGUUUGCAUUUCUUGAAAAGAAUACUUUAAUGCUAGGUAGUUUUCUAACUGCAUUUUGAAUAUAGAUGAUGACAGCUUGAAUGAUGUACCAUAGAUAAUCUCCUUACUGGAAUAUCCAGAGAGUAUCUUGUUUUCAAGCUGUGAAACCAGGGACAAUAGCAUGGCAUGAGUUCUCACUCAGGGAUUGAAUGGGCAAUUCCCUUUACUGGUCUCUUUUAUCUAACAUGCAAAUUAAAAGUCAUAUGGAGCCACACCCUGCACGAACACAUUCUGGAAUGCAGUGAGACCAGACCUAAAGCCUGCCAAGUUCAACGCCUCCUAGUAUCGACUGCUGGUUUGUUAGAUCCAGUCCUCACUCAUAAACCUUUAUUGUUUAAUCAACAGUUAAAGUCACAUGUCAUAUGUUUAUACAUUUAAGUACUACAUUUUCUCUGUAUGUUUUAUUAAAAAGCACCUAGAAAAUGAUGUACAUUAUUAAACUUAAUGAGUAUCUAGUACUUUAAUCAUAUAUUUAAUAAUUUAUGUAUAAAUCACAAAAUGUGAAAAUCAAAGAUAUUUUCUGUUUCAACUUUGUAGUAGGAGGUGUAUUUUUGAAUAAACUCCACAAUUACUGUAGUGGUUGAAAAGAACUGGCCAGCCACCACAGGCUUAAAACUCACAGCUCUGAAAGUUUUCAACUAUUUGCCCGCUGGCUGCUAGUGCUGCAAGCAAACAAAUAGUUCAGAUUUUUUUCAAAUCCUGGCCUGGAUUUAAAGAAUCUGGGUACUGAUUUAGGCCGUCCAGGGGCAACUAGUCCUUAUGAAAUCCGGAUCUAAUUGAGGCCCAUUUGUAAAGUAGUCUGAACAAUGUCCUGAUUUUGCAGUAUGACUUCAGACUUGAGUGAAUAACCCAGAUGUGGUCAAAUUACAUUUCAAUUUCAUAUUUUCAGAUUUGCUGGAUCCAUGUUAAGUUUGGUCAUGCCAUAGUACUUCAUCAUGGUAUAGCAUUUGUUAAAGAAGACAACUUGGGCUAUUUCAUAUGGGGAAUCCAGAGUCUUUUACAUUGACAUUUUUUAUUUUAUCACUUACUGGGAUGCUCUCUCACCAACUACCUGCAUUCAGGUUCAAAUAAUGCAUUUCCUGGACUAAAUUCGCUGCCAUCCAGUGACGUCCUGAAUUAGCCUCAUAAGGUUAUGUACUACCCACGAAUCAUCUGGAACUCUAAGAUAACGUUGGUCAAUAUGAAACAAGCCCUGUCUAUUUUUACUCACCUGUACCACUCAUUGUUGCCCUGUUGUGGUUCAAGUUAGCUCAACAGUGCGUUCUUGUGUAUUCUGAUUAUGGUUUCCGACUCUUGGCUUGUUUAACAUUUCUCCUGACCUCUGUGCUCCUUUCAUCUGACUAGAAUACCAUUUCUCCAGUUUUCUCAUGUCCUUGACCUCGGCUUUUACUCUGACACAGUCCACUGUUAGUCUGGCCACUCUGGAUCGGUACACAGCUAGUCUCUCUUUUACUGUGAUCUGUGUCUCUGUGUUUUGGUUCCUACUCCAUCCUGACACAUAGUGAACUUUAAUGAUGAAUUUCAUGAGUCUUGUGUGUCCUACUACUUCAAAUACCUUAUAUUUCUAUUCAGCUGCAUCUGCAGACUACAGCAAUAAUCCGUUGCCAGGUGUUUGGCAACUUAUAGAAUUAAAUAAUAAACAUGCCUUUAUUUAGAUAUGCAUCUUUGUCUGAUUCACAUAGACACUAUUUGGCAAAGUAACACUAUGUUAAAACACUGACCAGUGUCACACUUUGAUGUUGUCUGACAUAUAAAGGUUAAUUUUCAUAGAAAGAACCUGACAAAAAAAGUAAAUUUACUGGAAUGAAAGUAAAUUCUCAAAUAAAAGGACACCCAGACAGAGGAAACUAUCAACAUGUGUACCUAUAUUACAAAAUGAUUGUCCCCGGAUGAGGCCCGUAGCUUAGAAGACCUUCCAACAGAAACUGAACUAGCAGUGGCAGUUAAGGCAACCAACCUGGGAAAAAGCCCAGGUCCAGAUGGUCUCCCCAACCUUUAUUAUAAACAAGUUGCAUCCAUCCCUUACCUAUGCCUGCUAUCGCCCAAUCUCACUCUUAUAUUGCGAUCUGAAGAUAUUUGCAAACAUUUUGUAUAAGAGAUUGAUAGAUAAUGGUUUUGGGUGGGUUUUGUUCUUCACUCUGGUCUAUUUGUCUCGAAGCAGGUAGAAGGACAUCCUCUUACUAGCUACAAAUGCAGGCUUCUGGUUAAUUAGAAAUUCCUUUUUGCUACCUUACAACAUGUCGGGGUUGGCCCCCCCUGCUUUAAUAAAUACGAACACUGUACUUAUCUACCUCAGUGAGGGUCUGUGUGAAUGGAAUGCUCAUGGAGCCCUUUCAUAUUUAUAAUGGAACAUGGAUGCCCACUAUCUCUAUUGCGCUUUUUCCUUGCCUUUGAACCCUCCUUUUAGGGAAGGUGUAAACAGGGUUAUAUCUCAACUUACAGGAAGUGGUGAAUCCCACAAACAGAGGUACUAAAUAAAUGUAUUACAGGACCUUAGAGUGGCUGGACUUAAUGUAAGAAAGGCAAAGAUAAAGUCAAUAAUAACCAAGGUCAAGAUUCCAGAAAUACUCAUUCAGAAACAAGCUAGGUCAGGGUACCAGAAAUACACAAACUCAAAUACAAGUCAAGGUCAAUAUCAAAAUAUCAAGAGAGACUUUUGAUAAGCACUAAACAUAGAUUAAGACAGAAACCAUGAUAGGACACUGAAUAAGUGUUCGUAAUCCCACCUCUGAUGCUCGUCUUCAAGACUUGUCUAGGGCUGCACCAUUCCUGUCAAACUCCCUUACCUUUUCUGUUAGUUGCUCAACCAGUAUCUACUCCUGUAAAAAAAAAAAAAUCAUUACAAACUCACUUUUUCACAAAAGUGUAUCAAACUGUUAAUGGCUCCCAACUGAUUCCUCUCUGCAACUGUCAUUUAAAAAAAACCACACUAAGUCUUCAGUGAAUACUAUUCUACCAAUCUACUUCCCUAAUACUUCCCUUACCUUUUGUGCCACUUUACCCCACUUCCUCUAGCAUGUAAGCUCAUUCACUCUGUUCCUGUGCGUGAAACUUGUCUGGUUACAAUUACAUGUUUGCUAGUCCACCCAUUGUAAAGCGUUACAGAAUUUGUUGGCGCUAUAUAAAUAUAAUAGUAAGAAUAUAUAAGGGCCCAGAUAAGCAUUAUAUAGGCUUUGAUUUGUUCUGAUUGCUCCACGUCAUUUCUGUGACUCCAAAAAGUAUGUUAAAGGUGUUGUCUACAUGACGCAGCAGCACAGCAGAUUAUCACCACCACCUUUUAUUUGAAAAUGGGAGGAAUCCUUAGGUCAGUCCUUUUCUAAACCACAGUGGCUUAAGAUGUAUGACCUCAUUCAUCAUUACUCCCUUUCCACCAAAACUCAGGAAACAUUUUAACAUUCUAAUAAAGGACACUGCAGGUACUUCAUUCCUUUUACCCCUACGCACUCUGGAAAAUCCUGGAGAUGUCUCGAAGUGGAAGGCAGUAUUACUGGUGGGAAUGUCCCCUGAUUCGCCCAUUUGGCAAAACCAGCUGCCUUCCUGCUCCACCCCAUAAGCUAAACUGUGUAGACCAAUAAGAAGUCUAUGAUUAUCAGAAUUUUGAAUAUUGCCCAUGGAGUUGUGGUACAUGCGAAUGGAGAAGUUACACUUUGUGGAAGAGGUGAUCAUCAUUGAUACAUGGAGGGUGCAGAGCUAUUCUGAAGUCUGGACUCAAUGGCUGACCUCAUCAGUGGUGAGCAAUUUGGUUAUUGCUUAAUUAUUGCAUGGGAAAGCAAUGCUCCAUAAUAGGCCCCAGGAUCAGAGAGACCUGAGGGGAGAACAUGUUAAAAUCAAUCACUUGUUAAAAAGACUUGGUACACAUACCCAAUCACCCUGCCUCCCCUCCUACCAGUGGUUGCUGAAGAGUUUUUAAAAGUUUGAUUGCUGGGUACAUUGGCUAUAGUAUUUUGCGACAUUAUGUAUGACUGCAUAUUUUACCAUCGUGUUUUUUAAGUUGUGAGGUUCAUAGUUUGAAUGUGCCUUUACAUGAUGAUGUCCAUCUCCCAUAGGAAAGCAUUGAUUCAUUGCAUUCCUUUGGGGAAGGUCUAAUGAACGCAUGGCACUUCCCUCAUGUGUGCAUUAGGUUCCCUACUGCAUUAAUGUUAGAGGAAGGGGGGACAUAGCAAGCACCAAGGGACC